AAGUUAAGGAAACACCAAGUACCCCAGCGCCAACCACCUAUUAUUCCAGUGGUGCUGGCAAACAUCUGGAAUACACUGAAGAAGAGAUGGAGAAAUCCCUGGAGAGGCUAACCAGCAUCUUGUAUGAGGUAGAUGCUAGAAAAAGGGAAACCCACCAUGAGCAGAAAAUAGCAAAGGCAGAAGCCUAUCACAAAGCACCUGACGCAGAGUCUGAAAAUAAAGAGCUAAUGGGAAAGGGGCCAGGACAUUCCCAGCAUCUAUCUAGCCAGCACAGGGUUCAGGAGAAAGCAACUCAUCCUGGAGGCCCUGGGAAUAUCGUGGAUGAGAUUGGUCUGAAAUGACUGUUCAGUCUGAGGCUGAUCAAAUCUAGAAGGGCUCCUGCUCCGGUUCCCAGUGUGUGCAGUGGCAGCUUGCAGAAGUAGUGACAUCACAGCCUUCCUGAAAAAGCCCUGGAGUAAAAUGAAGAAGAGGAGGCUCUUCCUGAGCAUGGCAGAGAGGGGGAUGCUGCACAUUUGACAUUGUAUUGCCUUUUUUUUAAAAAAAACUAAACAACCCAAUCUCCCCGGGGAGGCCAGGUCAGACACAUUUGCUGUUUCUUGAGAAUAAACUUCCCAAUAUGUUUGUACAGCUGCAUACUUAAUCCACUCUGAAAUUCAGUCACUGCAGGCUGACUGAUUGCUUCAGUGGAAGCCCUGUUUCCUGUUCCUCAAAGAGGGCAGCUUCUCCCAGGCUCCCUGUGGCUGGUACAGUGCUCAGCACUGGCAGGAGAGAGCAACAUUUACAAUAAAAAAAGCUACUGUCUCAAGAAACCCUCAUUUAUUUGGCCUGGUCAGUUUCUUUUUGAUGUUUGGAGUGAAAACCCUCCUGUACAAUCUGUGUUGUUCCACAGUAGGUCUCUUUGCUCUCUGCAAUCCUGUGACUGUAAGGCCUGACUGUGCUGGUUCCUGCCUCUACGUUGCUCUCUUAUGGCAAUCAAGGGGUCUCUAGCUAGCAAGCUGCAGUAUCUGUUUUCUUUUUUGUGCAGGCUGCUCUGGACCUUGUUGCUUAGCAUUGGCUACUUUGGCACUCCAAGAGCUGGGCCUCUGAGAGUAAGCUAUUGGGGGUCAGAUUUUUUUCUCUGUUAC